rnacentral:rRNA from 1 species
GUGGGGAAUUUUGGACAAUGGGCGCAAGCCUGAUCCAGCAAUGCCGCGUGUAGGAAGAAGGCCUUCGGGUUGUAAACUGCUUUUGUACGGAACGAAACGGUCCUGGUUAAUACCUGGGGCUAAUGACGGUACCGUAAGAAUAAGCACCGGCUAACUACGUGCCAGCAGCCGCGGUAAUACGUAGGGUGCAAGCGUUAAUCGGAAUUACUGGGCGUAAAGCGUGCGCAGGCGGUUUUGUAAGACAGGCGUGAAAUCCCCGGGCUCAACCUGGGACUUGGGCUUGGUACUGCAGUGCUGGAGUGCGGCAGAGGGGGAUGGAAUUCCGCGUGUAGCAGUGAAAUGCGUAGAUAUGCGGAGGAACACCGAUGGCGAAGGCAAUCCCCUGGGCCUGCACUGACGCUCAUGCACGAAAGCGUGGGGAGCAAACAGGAUUAGAAACCCCGGUAGUCC